UUUACCUUUGAAGAACUUCUGAUGUUUUCAAUGAGGAUACUCUCAGUUAGAUAGCAGAUGCUCAGUUUUUCCAAAAAGAUUCCUUGUGUAUUAGAAAUAGCUCCGUUUUAUACAUCACAUUUGGCUACCAAAAAAAAUCCAUAAAUUCAGUCCUCAAAACGCAAACUUUUUUCCAAAUUAACUCCAUAAUAUCGACUGAAAACAUGGCAAACGUUGUUUAGAAUCAAUCCUCAAGGUGUUUUUCACAUAUCUCUUCAUUGAUACAUCGUUCUUGGACACAUGCUUUCUCUCCUGAAUCCCAGGAGAAAAUGACCGCACCUGAAGAUUACGCACAAAUUUAGACAAAGGACACCGGGCGGACCUCUGGAAAAUGUAGUCUCUUAUGGCCAAUCUUCCAAUGAUAUGCCUACAAAUACGUCACAAUGCUGCUAAGACCUUGGGCGAAGGACAGAAAGUGUAGGCUCAUUCCUUGCGCAAUCACAGCCAUAUAAGGAGAGAAUGGAAAACAGAGCUUCAGAAAUUCUGCUAAUUCCUGGGUGAUGCAUCAUCUUGGUUUCACCUGUAGAAUGAGUUCUGGGGCACUUACAGACAAAAUCUUUGCAGAUUCUGAAACUUCAGAGUGUUUUCUUUCCAAAACUGUCAAGAAUAUGCAUAGUCGAGCAUCUUUUCGUGACAAAAUAUCGCGCUUAAAACGGGAACGUUUUUUAUCCAAAAAUGAAAUAGCGCCCCUAGAGCUCUGUUUCUUUCUCUUUCACUGCCUCUUUCACUGUCUCUUUCCCUGUCUCUUUCACUGUCUCCUUAAUUGUCUCUUUAACUGUCUCUUUCACUGUCUCUUUCCCUGUCUCUUUCACUGUCUCCUUGUCUCUUUAACGGUCUCUUUCCCUGUCUCUUUAACUGUCUCUUUAACUGUUUCUUUCUCUUUCACUGUCUCUUUAAUUGUCUCUUUCUCUGUCUCUUUAAUUGUCUCUUUAAUAGUCUCUUUCACUAUCUCUUUAAUUGUCUCUUUCACUGUCUCUUUAAUUGUCUCUUUCACUGUCUCUUUAAUUGUCUCUUUAAUUGUCUCUUUCACUGUCUCUUUAAUUGUCUCUUUCACUGUUUCUUUCACUGUCUCUUUCACUGUCUCUUUCUCUUUCACUGUCUCUUUUACUGUCUCUUUCCCUGUCUCUUUCACUGUCUCCUUAAUUGUCUCUUUAACUGUCUCUUUCCCUGUCUCUUUAACUGUCUCUUUCUCAUUCACUGUCUCAGUUUCUCUUGUCCUAAUUGUUCUGUCAAAGGACCUGAUGUAUUACAGACGCCAGUUUCACAGCGGGGACUUUUGGCCUGAAGUCUCAGGUCUCUAAGGGUCUUUAGAUUUACAAUGGCCCUAAGGGGCAAAGUAGCUUUGAAAUCAAAUAUUUAAACCAGUAAUUGAAUCUUACUAAUAUUACAAAAUGGCCUUUCAAUAUAUUUUCUGUUUAACCAAUAUGUAAUAUAGAGAUGAGGGAAACUGUAUGACUAGUGGUGUUUACUUACUUACACCAAUCACAUUGUAGGAUUUUUUAUGAAUUUAUUUGCAAAUUAUGGUGGAAAAUAAGUAUUUGGUCAAUAACAAAAUUAUCUCAAUAAUUUGUUAUAUACCCUUUGUUGGCAAUGACAGAGGUCAAACGUUUUCUGUAAGUCUUCACAAGGUUUUCACACGCUGUUGCUGGUAUUUUGGCCCAUUCCUCCAUGCAGAUCUCCUCUAGAGCAGUGAUGUUUUGGGGCUGUUGCUGGGCAACACGGACUUUCAACUCCCUCCAAAGAUUUUCUAUGGGGUUGAGAUCUGGAGACUGGCUAGGCCACUCCAGGACGUUGAAAUGCUUCUUACGAAGGCACUCCUUCAUUGCCCGGGCGGUGUGUUUGGGAUCAUUGUCAUGCUGAAAGAUUCAGCCACGUUUCAUCUUCAAUGCCCUUGCUGAGGGAAGGAGGUUUUCACUCAAAAUCUCAUGAUACAUGGCCCCAUUCAUUCUUUCCUUUACAUGGAUCAGACGUCCUGGUCCCGUUGCAGAAAAACAGCCCCAAAGCAUGAUGUUUCCACCCCCAUGCUUCACAGUAGGUAUGGUGUUCUUUGGAUGCAACUCAGCAUUCUUUGUCCUCCAAACACGACGAGUUGACUUUUUACCAAAAAGUUAUAUUUUGGUUUCAUCUGACCAUAUGACAUUCUCCCAAUCUUCUUCUGGAUCAUCGAAAUGCUCUCUAGUAAACUUCAGACGGGCCUGGACAUGUACUGGCUUAAGCAGGGGGACACGUCUGGCACUGCAGGAUUUGAGUCCCCGGCGGCGUAGUGUGUGGCUGGUAAUGGUAGGCUUUGUUACUUUGGUCCCAACUCUCUGCAGGUCAAUCACUAGGUCCCCCCAUGUGGUUCUGGGAUUUUUGCUCACCGUUCUUGUGAUAAUUUUGGCCCCACAGGGUGAGAUCUUGCGUGGAGCCCCAGAUCGAGGGAGAUUAUCAGUGGUCUUGUAUGUCUUCCAUUUCCUAAUAAUUGCUCCCACAGUUGAUUUCUUCGAACCAAGCUGCUUACCUAUUGCAGAUUCAGUCUUCCCAGCCUGGUGCAGGUCUACAAUUUUGUUUCUGGUGUCCUUUGGCAGCUCUUUGGUCUUGGCCAUAGUGGAGUUUGGAGUGUGACUGUUUGAGGUUGUGGACAGGUGUCUUUUAUACUGAUAACAAGUUCAAACAGGUGCCAUUAAUACAGGUAACGAGUGGAGGACAGAAGAGCCUCUUAAAGAAGAAGUUACAGGUCUGUGAGAGCCAUAAAUCUUGCUUGUUUGUUAUAGACCAAAUACUUAUUUUCCACCAUCAUUUGCAAAUAAAUUCAUUAAAAAUCCUACAAUGUGAUUUUCUGUAUUUUUUUCCUCAUUUUGUCUGUCAUAGUUGAAGUGUACCUAUGAUGAAAAUUACAGGCCUCUCUCAUCUUUUUAAGUGGGAGAACUUGCACAAUUGGUGGCUGACUAAAUACUUUUUUGCCCCACUGUAUCUCCCCACUGCCACAGGUACAAACGCCAGUUUUAUCACCAUGCUCCUCAUGCCCAGUAGUCCUGCUCGGAGCUAGAGCUGCACAUUGGAAGGGAAAAAAAAUAAAAAGAAUUCUUGAAAUAAUUAUUGAGCUGUGUGGCUGGCUUAAUCUGUGGCACAGCAAGGCCUCCUCCUCCUCCUCCUGACACACCACACACACACUCACUGUGGCAUGUCGUAAAUAAACAUGAGUGGAGCUGCCCACUGCCCAGACUGUGGGUAAACAAGUCAGACUGGACUCGGACUGCAGAUGAGACUUCAACGCCACAUAGUCCAUGAAGGGUGUUAGUUCAAUACCACACGGACUCUUCCUGAGAAAAAUAACUGCGAUACAAUAAUAAUGUAAAAAGUGGCAGUAAAGUAAUAUUCUACACUUACCACUGAUUGCAUAAUCUCCAUUCAUCAAGGUAUUCCUUGAAGAAUAUAAUGUGCAGGUAUACGAAUCUCAAGUGAAACUGACAGACUGACAGCACAGCACUGUCUUCAGUCCAUUUAACUCUAAUGUGUUAUCCUGAAACCUUUAAAAGCUUUCUCCCCUACAGAGCUCAUCUUGUUGAAGUGCCCUGGAAAUGUCCCAUUCUCAGUCUGGCAUUAGAUAAUGCUGUGUCUGAAACAGCUCUCAGGAUGCUGCUGGUCACUUCAUUGUUAUUUCAUGAGGUUUUAAGGACUGUGAAUCAGUUUUAUCUACUCUCUAACUACGGAAAACCAGGGCUUUUGGAGCUCUAAUGGACAGUAAAAGGCACAUACCCUAUAACCAGUCUUGAGCGCUGUCAUUCUAACCCAAUUCUUAACAUGAAUGAAAUGGUGAUGUCUGUAAGAGGGGAGACUACACAACGGCCUGCUAACCAAAGUCAAGACCAGUGGUGGUCGGUGUCGUUCAAGAUGAGGGAGGGCGAUUUUGUUUUUUUGUAUGAGCAUGGCCUUAUUUCUAUUACAGCAUAUUGGAUGACUGUCGUCUCGUCGUUGUUGGUAAUCAAGCCUACCACUGUAGUGUUGUCUGCAAACUUGAUGAUUGAGUUGGAGGCAUGCAUGGCCACACAGUCAUGGGUGAACAGGGAGUACAGGCCCCUUGUGGGCCCCAGUGUUGACGAUCAGCGGGGUGGAGAUGUUGUUUCCUACCCUCACCACCUGGGGGCGGCCUGUCAGAAAGUCCUGGACCCAGUUGAACAGGGCGGGGUCGAGACCCAGGGUCUCGAGCUUAAUGACAAGUUUGGAGGGUACUAUGGUGUUAAAUGCUGAGCUGUAAUCGAUGAACAGCAUUCUUACAUCCUCUUGUCCAGAUGGGUUAGGGCAGUGUGGACAGUUUGAUUUCACAGAAGAGUGAUUGACUUGGGAGUUACAUUGUGUUGUUUAAGUGUUCCCUUUAUUUUUUGAGCAGUGUAUAUCCCUGGCAUAUUACAUAAUUUAUGCAACAGCAUACAAUACAUUUUUGGACUAAACUUGUUGUGCUCACUUGAACAGGAAGGUGAUGCGGCGGUCCUUCCUGUAGGAUCUAGAAAGAGGCCCGAGUUCCCGACUUGGAAAUCCCGAGUUGGAUGACUGUUAGAAAUUAUUUUCUGUAUUUUCCCAGUAGUCUUGAACUCACUGAAGUCUGAGAUUUCCCAGUUCCGAGUUUCCUGUUGUUUUGAACGCGGCUGAACACACAGAGCACGACGAGAUAAGGACAUCCUGGCUGGCCAAACCCUCCCCUAACCUGGUCGACGCUGGGCCAAAUGUGCGUGGUCCAAUGGGCCUCCCGGUCACAGCUGGCUGUGACACAGCCUGGGAUCGAACCUGAGGCUUAAGUCGAGGCUCAGCAACUCAUUGUUGAAUUUGGGAUUUUCAACUUGUUGUGUAAUGUUUGUGUCCAAUGGCCGAUGAGCACUGCUACAUUUUAUCUAUAAUUUCUCUUCAUAUGACAAGGAUUGAAAAGGAU
rnacentral:lncRNA from 13 species